rnacentral:lncRNA from 1 species
GGAACCCGACUGCCUAAUGUUGCUGGGGCGAUCGACUGUACUCCGAGAUCAUCCGACCUACUAGACUGGACGGCGAGAGCUACUACGACCGGAAGCAGCGGUACUCGGUCACCUUGCAAGGGGUUUGUGAUGCCCAGAAGAGGUUCCUCAGUGUCUACGCUGGGUAGCCAGGUAUGUUUCUUUGUGUGUUGUGGAUGGUUCUAAAAUGUUCUUUUUGCUUUCAGGACGCGUCCACGACAUGAGGGUUUUUCGUAAUUCAACCCUCAGGAACAAGAUUGUAGCAAGGGAGCUGCUGACAUUGCCUGCGGUGUUAGCAUAUGA